AUACGGAGGAUCCGAGCGUUAUCCGGAUUUAUUGGGUUUAAAGGGAGCGUAGGCGGGAUAUUAAGUCCGCUGUGAAAGUUUGGGGCUCAACCUUAAAAUUGCAGUUGAUACUGGUUUCCUUGAGUACGGUACAGGUGGGCGGAAUUCGGGGGGCAGCGGUGAAAUGCUUAGAUAUCACGAAGAACUCCGAUGGCGAAGGCAGCUCACCGGACCGGAACUGACACUGAUGCUCGAAAGUGCGGGUAUCAAACAGGAUUAGAUACCCUGGUAGUCCGCACAGUAAACGAUGAAUACUCGCUGUUUGCGAUACACGGUAAGCGGCCAAGCGAAAGCGUUAAGUAUUCCACCUGGGGAGUACGCCGGCAACGGUGAAACUCAAAGGAAUUGGCGGGG
rnacentral:rRNA from 1 species